CCACAUGCCAUUUCUGAGCAAAGUAUGUUGUCAGCCAUCCCUUCCCAGGGCCUGUAGCACCAAGGCAUUCUAUAGAUAACUUGGUGGGGGUGAGCGUUUAGCCCACCCCGAAUCAGGUAUCCAGUGUGGACUGGUACCAUGGUUGUAAUCCACUGGAAAUUAUGCAUCCACUGUGGGUUGAGACAGCCAGCCCAUGGGAAAGAGAGAUUCUCCAUACCUGGCCAGGGCACAGUGCAGCAAUGGAUGAUAAGAACAGGAAUCCAGCAGCCAGUGGGCUGUAACCUAGAGUGUACAAAGUGGUAGGGCAGGGGUCUUGGGCACCAUUGAAGGUCUGCAUUCUGCUAUAUUAAAUUGCAAGAAACAAACAAACAAACAAAACAUAUUGACAGGUUGUGAGAGAGAUGGCUAGAAGAAAUGAAAAAGUUUUAUAUUUUAGUAUCUUUAGAGACACUUUUUUCUUGCUUUUUAAACAAGGGCCUCUGCACAUUCAUUUUGCACUGGGCCUCACAAGUUAUGUAGCCAGCCUUGGUACUUGGAGUGAAAAUUUGAAUGUUAGAAAUAAACUGUAGAGUAACAAUUACGAGAAAAUACAAGUAAUGAGAUAGGAUGUAAUUACUGGAAGUAUUUUCAUUAAAUUGUGAUCAGAAUGUUGGUAUGUGUCUCAGUUUGGGUCUUCCUAGAAGCAGACUCUGAGAAAAGGAUCUGAGAGGAAGUUGCUUAUUUGGGAAGGAAUUUCAAGGAACACAAGAAGGGAGAGUUGGAAAGAGAGAAGAAGAAGGGUAAAAAGAAGAGGAAGAAGAAGAAAAGCAUGAUAUUGAAUACAAUAGUGUUCUGGAAAACUAUGGCUAGUCCUGUGGGAACUUAGGCAGAGUAGAACAUGCCUGAACAUUGUUUCAAUUUCCAUCUGAAAGGGCAAGGGAGCUGGGGCAUUUGAGCUCCAAUUUCCAUUUGCAUGUGGACUACUUCUGAGAGUGUUAACCCUUCAAAAUUCUCAGGCUGGCCUGUACAUAAAUGCUGAGAGAAAGAUUUCCGCCCUGGAGUCCCAGAGGCUAACUGGAGGCCCUGUGGGCCUUUCCUGGAUAGCAGCGUUAAUUAAGAGGAUCUGGCUAGCCACCAACAAGGUCUGCCACAGUGAAUGUGUCUUUGAUAUAUAUAAGUACAAUAAAGUUGACUCUGAGGAUGAUGCCAUUGAACUAGGCCACACUAAAUUAGGUAUAUGUUAUAUUGGUUCUUCUUCUCAAUGGUUAUUUAAAUGUGAAACUAAUAAUAAUAAACUCUAGAGCCCUCAAAGCUGUAUAUGCCAUUUAAAAUAAUAAGAAUUCACAAACAAAUAAAUAUAUGGAAUACAUUCUAUAUAAAGUAGCUGAUUUCCUAAUUUCCUCGACAUACUUCUCUGCAUGAACAACAGUCUCUCUCAGCUCACUACAUUCUAAAUGCAAUCAGCUUUCUGCAUUCAACUAAGUGCACUAGUUUUGCACAAAGUGAAGUUUUCAUUUCUACUUUAACCACAACCUAAAUCCACAUACCUAUAAACAUUAACUACACCGUCUUGCUCUUUAUAAAAUGCUUAUUCUUAAUUUUCUAUUAAUAAUUCUUAAUCUUUGGAAAAUAAUAAUAUCUCAACUGAUAUUUAUCAUAAAUCCAAAAAAAGUGACUCUGGUUGGUACUAAAGCAAGGUACUAAAGUAAGGAUUAGAGAAAUUCUUACUGUUUGGAAAUCUAAAGCAAGGAGGGUGAACACACAUUAUGUUAAGUAAGAACAGGGAUUCUAUAUAUAUGCCUGGGUUGGAAUCUUGUCUCUGUCACUUACCUGUGUGACCUUGGGGAAAUAACUCUGUACCUCAAUUUCUCACAUCUGUCUUCAAAAAACUUUGUCAGAUUUAAUACAAUAAUAUUCAUAAAAUACUUAACUUACACCUGAUAUGUGAAAUAAAUGAAUCCGUAAAAUUGACACGUAUUCUUGGAGUAUGUUCUCAGCAAUGUUUCAUGUUGCUACCAGUUACUUGAACCUGGAAUGAAUGUGAGAUGUGAAUACACUCAAAUUAAUAUCUUUACAAUUAAAUAAAAGUGGAAAGUCACGCUAAUGAUGGAAAGAAAAUACAUGCAACUAAAAUUAACAGCAGACAGUAUCUAGAACAUACUAAAAACUGCUAUAAGUCAAUAACAAAAAGACAAUACAUUCAAUAGCACAAUAUGCUAAGACCAAAGAGGAGAGGACACUAAUGGUUUAUACAAUAUGGAUACCUUUCCAUACCCUUUAGAAUGUAGAAACACUAACAAAUCUUCAGUAUCAAUAUUGAUAAGUGUAUAAAACUACAGGGACUCUCAUAUAGUGUUGAGGUGGAAUAAAUAUCUUCAAUAUCUUUGAAGAGCAAUUUAUCAAUAUUUAGAAGAUUUUAAGAGGUUUACAUUCUAUGGGUCAGCAAUUCAUUACCAGUUGCAUAUCUUAGAGAACCUCUGCUAUUUGGAUGCAAGAAUACCCAUACAAGUAUGUUAAUUGCUUAAUAGAUUAUAAUUGCUGAAUAUUAGAAACAAUUUAAGUUAUCCAUAAAUAGAAGGGAUAAAUAAAUAGAAGCAGAAUGGGAUAAUCUUAGGUGGGUAAAGUGAAUGAUGUGUGUAAAUAAGCUUUAUCAAGACUUCCUGAAACAUAACAUUGAGAAAAAAAUGACAGAAUAUGUUCAGGAUUAUGUUAUCUAUAUUCACUUUUAAAAAAUGACAAGUAGUCAUAUAUGACAUAUGUACACAAAAUUAGAUAGUAAAUAAAUAAAAAUAUGCAUAAGAAUGAUAAAUGCCAAAUCAAGAGAGUGGUUAUCUCUAGAUGGGAGAGGAAUUUUCAGGGAGUCAACAUGGAGUUUAACUCUGUCUGUAAUACUUCAUAUUUUAAAAUAUAGAAAUUAUGCCCACAUAUUAAAACUGAUAAAAAUGUCUGGUAACUAUAGAGGUGAGUUUUUAAUCCUUAUAUAUUUUUAGAUGUUGAAAGGAUUUUUAAUAAAGGAUUUACUAACAGUGAAAGGAAGUCAGAGGCCGGGGAGGUGGAGAUUGAUUACAAAGGAACAAGAAGAAGCAUUUUGGGUUGAGUUAGUGAAUAAAUUCUUUAUGUUGACAGUGAUGAUGGUUAUAUGAUUUUAUAUAUGUCAAAUAUUAUAGAAUUAUAUACUCAACACUAGUGAUUUAUUAUAUAUAAAGUAUAUCUCAAUAAAGCUAAUUUAAAUAAUAUUCUUAGGCUUUUCAACCCUAAAAGUUAGCAGGAUGGACACUCAUUACUCUGUAAGUGUCCCCAAAGUUGUCUCUUUCUGUCUCUCUUAGUUUCUAUCAAAUUUUUCUAUUACUUCUCCCAACCCCCAACUCUUUUAUCUUUCUCUGUUUUUGCUGGUCACUGUCAGUGGCUGCCUGUCUUGCUUUCUAUUCUGGCUUCCACCGUUAAUAUAGCCAGAAUCGUAUUUACUUUUCUGAUAACGGGGGGCCCUGCUUAAACCUAACCUUAUAAAAGCUCAAAUUACUGCAAGGACCUCUACCCCUUUUUUCUUUCCAGUCCCCACACACAUAAUGUGCUGCAUACCCUAACUUGGACAAGACGCAGGGAAGAGGAGGGCCAGAUGUUAACUUCUUUAGUCAGAUAAAUACAAUGGGAAAGGCAAAGGUGGUGUGAUGAGUUAUGGAUCAACUAUGAUGAUGAAAUUGACUAGGCUGUUUCACUGGGGCUGUACAGUCAAGAAAACAUAGAGAAUUCAUAUCCUUGUCAGUAAUCAGAGCAUAAACAAAAGGAAAAGUAGAAGCUCUUCACAGAUGGUGCCACCUAAAUUUCCUGUUGAGAAUUCAAUGCAUUCACACCUUACCCCAAUGCCAGUUCCUUCAUAUAAUUCCUGCUUCUUCUUUUUAUUACCCCACCUCAAGCUUUUACACUGUAACCUAUGCACUCCUUCAGUCUUUGCUCUACUACUUUAUCUCUCAACCCAUAGUUUAAAGUCAGUGUGACAAACGUUAGCCCUGGCACAUUCUGCGUUCUAUGAUAGAAGCUAGAAGACUCAAAGGGAUUGAAACACAGUUGCUGUCCUCAAAUAUUUCAUAAUCUAGGAGGAGAAAUGGACUGUCUCCUUACUCCUGACUUUGAAAUGUUUAGACUAGCAGCACACUGUUUGCAAUCUCUGUAUUGACCUCAGAAAUAUCUCUUAAGAAAUGCUCCCCAAGAAACUCAACUUAGCAUUCUCAGGAGACACUUGGGUUACAGAGUGAAAUUUUAAAGAGACGUGACCAUGAUCGCUACUAAUCUGAUUUAUUUUAGAUUUCUGAUGUAGCAUGAUAUAGACAUGUGUUAGUAAAUUUGAUGAAGAAUUAAGGACAGGACUUAGAUAUGGCCAGCACAAAAAGAAAUGAUCUCUACAUUGCCUUUUUCUUCCAAAGCAUGUAAUCACCAUUUAUUCCCCUAUUACUUCUUUCACUGCAUGUAAUACUCUUGAUAACACUCUAAAGCUGUUAGCUGGUAAAUAAACAUGAAGAAUGUAUGAAAAACUUACUGAAUUUUGGCAAGCCUUUUUUAUUCCACAGCAGAAAGGCAAUGCUUGAAUAUUUUUAUAUACUUUAUAAACUAUUAAAUUUGUCAUUGGUUACCUAACAGAGAAUUUUUUCCUAUAUGAACUAUAAUUUUACAUGGAUUUAAUAAAAAAUAGAAAUGCUAAAAAUAAGCAAAUGAAAGAACACAAAAUAUUUCCUUUUCUUCAAACAUAAUAUCUAUAAGUGUUCCACAAUUAAAUAAGUAAAUUUAUAUGAAUGUAGUGGCAGUAUUAACUUUUUAAUUUUUCAAAUUUUAAAACUGUCAUUUCACAUUCAGUCAGAAACAUCGUAUUCAUUUUUGUUAACUUGGAUUUCUUUAAAAAUAAGUGCACCAUGAUUUUUUUAAUUAAUAGCAACUGUAGUUAAAAAAACAGAAUUUUGUGGAAAAAGAUUAAUAAAUUCCAGUUAAUUUUUAUUUUCCUCUUUGGCAAUGUCUAACAUUAAUUAGAGACAUUGAUUAGUGUUCAGUGUUAACUUAACACCAAGAAAAUCUCAUAAGCAUCAUUCUCCAUGGAUAAAAGCUAGCCAUAGAAUACUGCUUAACUUUACGUGAUAUAUUUUCAUGUGAAAUCACAAUUUUUAAGGAUCUCUUAACUUGGUUGGGUCUAGAUUUAUGUUUACUUCAAUUAUUAAAUAAGACAAUACAGGAGACAAAGAGUUAUGAAUUUCUAAAGAAAAAAAGGCUUUACGAUGUGACUCUGAGAAAAAAAUAGCAUUAUUGAAACUUGGUGUCCUAUUACGUAAAGGCUAACUAUAAAUGACACAGUAUAAUAUCUCACUGUAAUAGAAACAUUCAUUAGUUGCCAAGAUUAAUCAUCAAUACAUUACAGUAUAUGUUAGAAUAUGUGAAAUUUAAAUUAUGCUCAAGACACAAAUAAGAGGUUAUAAAAAUAACAAAAACUAAAGCAAGUGUUUCUAUAAAAUUAUUUUACUUAUUUAGACAGUUCCUAGUCUUUGGCUAUAUUUGAUUCAGUACAUAAGCUUUAUAGUUCAAUAUUCUAGAUAAGACUACCCUUGGAUUUUAUGGUACAUAAAUACAGAGCCUUGUAUUGGAAAUCACAUAACGGUUGUUUGUUCAGUUUGGUGUAUGACCACAAUUCCUAGUAUUAAUAAAGUAAAAUAUUUAUUAUAGAUGAGUUCCUGAGAGACCUGAGGCCUAAACUAUGGAGCCACAAAGUCUGAUUAAAUGCACGAAAGUACAUAGCAUUACAGUGGACUCUCAGAUAGCUACAAAUCCAGCUCAUCUUCCUUAACUGUUUAGCUCUUAACUCCUGUAAUAUGUCCCCUAUUUGGUCACAGCACUGAAACAGAGAAGCAUAUCUGAAAUCUCAACUACAAUUCAAUUUACUGUAUUUUAGCUACAAGAUAAAGCUCCAGUGUAUAUAAAACACAUACACAUAUGUUAACAAUGUGCUUUUACAUUGCCUUCAAAUCAAAUUACAUGGAUAUUUAACAAAAUAAUAAUUCUAUUACAGUAAAUUUUAAAUGCAAGAUACUUUUUAUGAAAACAGAUUGCUCUUAUUGACAUUUAUUAUUGGCUAUUCUGAGUGACAUUAAUAUAAUAUACAACCUGAAGUUUCAAUCCUAUGCAGCUUUAGCAUACAUAAAACUAUUCAGGUGAAAAUAUGUAUUUCUAUAAAAAUAUAUAUUUCAUGCAUGCUUUUAAAGAAAUAAAAUCUUCUUACCUUUGAGUCUAUUGUGAUGACUUGGGAAGAAUAUAACGCUCAUUUAUUUAAGAUUAAUUCAUUAUUUAAUAUUCAAACAUAUUAUGAUAACAAUUAAUGCCCAGGAGAAAAUGCUCUGAAUGUGGGGCUACAAUAGUCAAAGCUGAGGAGCUUCAAGAGAGAAAGCAACCAGAAUUAAUACAGUUUAGGUAAGAUGGCUAAGUUAGGGAGUCAGAAAAGCCUGUUCAAGCCACUUUGCAACCCUUGGGAAAUGCUUGCACCAGAAUGCUUCUCAGAGUGCAUGGGAUUAUCUUUUUUAUUUGAAUGGACUAUGAGACAGAACCAGCAAUACCUUUUUUUGGGAUAUGAAAUGUAAGUUCUAAGAAGUGGGAACAAAUAUGUGAUGUGAAAGACUCGACUAGUAAAGAAAGAAAAUUUCAGGGAGGGCAAUAUCUUGCUCCCAUGCUGGACUGCAACCAGGAUAGAAUUACAUAGAAAAGUUAAUUAGUCCAAAAGUUGUGGCACUGAAAAUAUCUCAGGCUCCAAAUUACCUUACCCUUCAGUAAAUGUACGUGAUACAUUUCCUUCACCAUUUUGCGUUUUAAAUUAAAGAUAAAAUCACCAGAAAGCAUAAAUACUUAAAAUGUCCCAAUUCAGUCCAGUCAGUUUAGCUUUACAAGAAUUAUUUCCCUCAAGGUUAAAAUAUAAUCAAUACUUUACUUUGAAGAGCUAACACAAGAAUCAGUAACAAUGUAUAUAAAGUCUCCUGCAGUGUACUCAAUGGAGGUUCUCAAUAAAUUGUAAAAAGUUUGUUUCUAUAAAAAUCCCCACACAGCAAUUAAAAUGAGUAUGACCACCUUUAGCCUUGUUUAUUUAGUUUCACACACUAUUUAUUACAUGAUUUAUCUUCUAUGGUUUAUGAAAGCAGCAGUGUAGAAAUAUCAGUUCUGUCAUUAUCUCUCCAGUAUGAAUGCUAAAAUUCUUUACAUUCAUCCAUUAAAUGAAUGGAUGCCUACUAUGUGCCAGAUCUUACACUAAGCAUAACAGUUACAAAGGUAAAUAAUUAUGUUCUUAUCAUGGUAGUUUACUCUGUAACCAAUGGAGCCAGGAAUAUAAUUACAUAGCUAAAUGUCAUAAUACCUAUAAAAUAGUUUUGUAUCUAAUGCUAUGGUAAGGAGGGAGAGGACUACGCAUUUUUAAAGAAAGUGUUUAAUAGAUCAAUUUCAUAAAAUAUAAAAGCAGAUUAUGUUCAUUUAAAUGUGACUGAAAGAAGUUUGUAGAUUUAAUUAGAAAAAUAAAUCACAUUUCAGUUAGCUCCACAGAUAAAAUGGUGGGGUGAAUUUUUCUGCUGUAAUAAUUGGUAGUAGCUUAGAAACCUAGAAUUCCCAAUCUUAACAAUUUUGUCCUCUGCCAAACCAUUUUAGAAUUUCUGACUGGAGGACUCUACACAGAGUAAAGUAGCAAAGUGGGAAGCUGAAGUACAAUCUUAUUUUCUUAAUUUUUAUUUUCUAAAUGUUGAAAUACAAUCUUAUUAAUGGCACCCCAUAAUCAUCAGUGCAAAUUCUAGAGACCUGGCCACAGGGUGCAGACAAAGAAGUCUACACUGGAAUUUCCCAUUUCCUUCCUUAUGAUUGAAGAAGUACCUGGCUUAAUGUCCCUCCUUAUUUCAUCUGCAGCUAUGAUAAAACAGAGAAAUAUUUGGCCAGACUCAUGUCAAAGGGACAUGCCUUAUCAGAAUCCUUAGCAGGACUUAGAGAGAGGUGUGUUUAAGAGCUAUGUUUCAGCCUGACCCAGUGUUCUUAUCAUCUGCAAGCACAGGAUAAGUAGUUUUGCUGGGGCUUUGAUAUUUAAGGAUCAGUAGCCACACCUGGGAGUAAAAAGAACUACCAGGACGUCACGAAAUGUGACAAUUCAGAUUUAGAAACCUCUCUGCCUUUAUAUCGCUGUUUCUGUGUAUAUAGGAAGAGCUGGCCAGGAGGGGAGGGUGGAAACACUGAGAAUCAAACGCAUAGGAAAAGGAAACCAUGUAUCACCCCAUUAAACAAAUAAAUGCAAAUAAUUAAGAAGGGUAUCAUAAUCAUAAUUAACUCACUAAAUUGGAGGUUGAGUUUGCCACAUCUGACUCUUCAUGUCUAUAAUUAAUUUAUAAUAUUCUCACUCUGUAUUUACAUAUAAUUAAAAGCUUAAAAGCUUAUUUUGGGGUGUUAAUAUUUAUUAAAAUAUAACAUUUAAGUCCUACAUUCCCCUUUUUUGUUUAGUUUAGCUUCAGCAGAUCUAUUAUGGUAUAAUUGAAACCCAAUAAUCUAAUACUUUUUAAAUGUACAAAUUUACAUUUAGAUAUACAUACACAUCCUUGAAAUUGUUAUCACAACCAAGACAGUGCAGAUUUUAGAGACCUGGCCACAUGCUGUAGGCAAAGAGCUCUACAGUGGAAUCUCUCAUUCCCUUCCUUGUGAUUAAAAUAGUAGCCGGCUUAAUGACCCUCCUCAUUUCAUCUGCAGUUAUGAUGAAACAGAAUGAUAUUCAGCCAGAUCUAUAUCAAAGGGGCAUGCCCUAUCGGAAUCCCUAGCAGGACUUAAAGAGAAGUGUAUUUAAGCCUGCCUCUGUGUGCUUAUCACCUUUAAUGAACAUAUCCAUUACUCAUUGUGAAAGUUUCUUGUCUUGCCUUGGUAAUCUCUCUCUCAAGCCCCUCCUCCCAACCCCCAUGCCAUCGCUCAUUUGUUUUCUGUACUAUAGAUUAAUUUACAUUUUCUAUAACUUAAAUUAACAUAGUCAUAAAAAUUCUCAUUUUCCUCUCCUCUUUCAUUCAGUAUAAUUAUUUUAAGAUUUAUCAAUGCUAUUUUUUAAUAGUUCAUUACUUUUGUUGUGGGUAGUUGUGAAACUUAGUUUUCUGGGUCAACAUAACUUGGUCAUAGGAUGGUCAGAUAUCUGGUUAAAAAUUGUUUCUGAGGGUGGUCGUGAGAAUGUUUCCAAAAGAUAUUAGCAAUUAAAUGGGUGGGCUGAGUAAAGCAGAUGGUUCUCACUCAUUAGAGUGGGCUUCAUUCGAUUUGUUGAGAGCCGAACUAGAACCAAAAGGUGGAAGAAAGUUGAAUGAGCUGUGCCUGACCAUUGAGCUGGGGCAUUGAUCUUCCACUGUACUUGGUGCUUAUGGAUCUCAGACCUGCAAAUUGAGACUAGAAUUUACACCAUCAGGUUUCUAAUUGUCAGGCCUUUGAACUGUAUUACCAGUUUUCCUCAAUCUCCAGCAUGAGAAAGACAAAUCAUGGGACUUCUCAGUCUCUUUAAUCUCAUAGCCAAUACCUAAUAGAUCUCUUUAUAUGUAUGUCUUCUUGGUUCCAUUACACUAGACAACCCUGUGUAAUGUAGUAGUAUUCGAUUAUAUGGAUAUACAAAAUUUGUUUCUCCAUUCAGCUGUUGAUGGACAUAUGGAUUGUUAUGAGUUUUUAGCUACUUCGAUAGGCUGUGGAAACUCAUGCCUAAGUCUCAGUAUGAACAUAUGCAUUUAUUACUUUUGGGUAUAUAGCUAGAAGUAAAAAAAAAAAACCUGCAUCAUUUGGAAAUUUUAUGAUUAACUCUUUAAAAACCUGCCAAAGUAAGUUCCAAAAUAAUUGCAGCAUUUACAUUCCCACUAACUGUGUAUGAAAGCUACAGUUGCUUCACAUGCUUGCCAAAACUUCAGUCUUUUUAACUCUAUCCAUUAUAAUGAGUGUGUUACAGCAUCUCAUUAUGUUUUAUUUUGCAUUUCCCAAAGACUAAUUAUAUUGAGAAUCUCUUCAUGUGGUUGUCUUCUCUGUAUCUUCUUAGUGAAAUGUCUAUGCAACUCUUCUGACAAUCUUUUUUAUUGUGUUGUUUUAUAUUCUCAAGAGUUCUUUAUAUAUUCUAGAUAUGGGUCCCUUAUCAGAUAUUUGAUUUAAAAUUAUUUUCUUCCCACACGUGGCUUGUCUUUUCAUUCUUUUAACAAAAUGUUUUGAAAGCCAGAAGUCCAUAAAUUUGAAGUAUAAUUUAGCUUUUUUUUUUCUUUUAUGGAUCCUCAUUUUGUUGUUAUAUCAAAUAAAUCUUGAUCUAACCUGAGGUCACCAAUAUUUCCAUCUAUGUUUCUAACUAAAGAUUUAUAAAACAUUUGGAGCAAUUUAUUUUUACCUAUGGUGCAAGAAAUAGAUUGAUUUUUAUUUCUGUUGGUUUUGGCAUAUGGAUAUUCAAUUGCUUUAGCACCAUUUAUUGAAAAGGCUAUCUUUCUCAACUGAAUUGGUUUUGCAUCUUUGUCAAAAAUCUAUUGAUCUAAUAUGUGUGUGCCUAUUUUUGGAUUCUGUAUUAUGUUUCAUGGAUCUAUGUGUCCAUUUUUAAACAAAUACUAAAAUACUAUAUUGCCUCGAUGAUGCCUAUUGAAAUUAGUCCUCACGUUGUUCUUUUUCAAAGUUGCUUUGGGUAUUCUAGCUUUUUAAAGCUUCUAUAAAAGUUUUAGAAUCAGUGUCAUUUUUUGAAAAAAGACUAAUGUGAUUUUAGUUUUAAUUGCACUCAAUCUAUAGAUCAACUUUGAAAUAAUCAGAAUUUUAAGAUAUUGAGACUUUUAAUUCAUGGACUGUAUAUUUCCCCACUUACUUAAAUCUUUACUUUUGCUCAGAAGGGUUUUACUAUUUUGGGAUACAGGUUCUGCUUGCCUUAGAUCUGUUUUUAAAUAUUUCAUAGUAUUGUGUUAUUGUGAUAUUUUAAAUUUUUAAUUAAAUUGAUCAUUGCUAAAAUAAAGAAGUACAGUUGAUUUUUAUUUACUGAUUGUGUAUCUUGCUGUCUAACUCACUUAUAAGUUCAAUGAAUGUUUUUGUAGAUUCCAAAAGAUUUUGUAUAUAAAUGAUCAUGCUGUCUCUAAAAAAAGAACAGUUUAACUUGUUUUGUUUUUGUUAAAUCUGUAUCUAUAAAUAAAAUGUAUGUGAACUUAAAUAGCCUUAAAGUUAAGAGAGGAGAAAUGGAAUUAUACUAUAAUAAAUUUUUAUACUAUUGUCAAAACAGUAUAAUAACUUAAAGGUAAAAUGUGGGAAUUUAAAGAUAUACACUAUCUUUG
rnacentral:lncRNA from 1 species